CGGGUGCUGACGAGCGGCGGACGGGUGAGGAAUGCAUAGGAAUCUGCCUAUUAGUGGGGGAUAACACGGGGAAACUCGUGCUAAUACCGCAUACGUCCUACGGGAGAAAGCGGGGGAUCUUCGGACCUCGCGCUAAUAGAUGAGCCUAUGCCGGAUUAGCUAGUUGGUAGGGUAAAGGCCUACCAAGGCGACGAUCUUAGCUGGUCUGAGAGGAUGAUCAGCCACACUGGGACUGAGACACGGCCCAGACUCCUACGGGAGGCAGCAGUGGGGAAUAUUGGACAAUGGGCGCAAGCCUGAUCCAGCCAUGCCGCGUGUGUGAAGAAGGCCUUCGGGUUGUAAAGCACUUUAAGUGGGGAGGAAGGUUAGUGGUUUAAUACGCUACUAAAUUGACGUUACCCACAGAAUAAGCACCGGCUAACUCUGUGCCAGCAGCCGCGGUAAUACAGAGGGUGCAAGCGUUAAUCGGAAUUACUGGGCGUAAAGCGCGCGUAGGUGGUUUUGUAAGUUGAAUGUGAAAUCCCCGGGCUUAACCUGGGAAUGGCAUCCAAAACUGCACGACUAGAGUAUGGGAGAGGGAGGUAGAAUUCCAGGUGUAGCGGUGAAAUGCGUAGAGAUCUGGAGGAAUACCGGUGGCGAAGGCGGCCUCCUGGCCUAAUACUGACACUGAGGUGCGAAAGCGUGGGUAGCAAACAGGGUUAGAUACCCUGGUAGUCCACGCCGUAAACGAUGAGAACUAGCCGUUGGUCUCCUUGAGAGGUUAGUGGCGCAGCUAACGCGAUAAGUUCUCCGCCUGGGGAGUACGGCCGCAAGGUUAAAACUCAAAUGAAUUGACGGGGGCCCGCACAAGCGGUGGAGCAUGUGGUUUAAUUCGACGCAACGCGAAGAACCUUACCUGGUCUUGACAUCCACGGAAUCCUGCAGAGAUGUGGGAGUGCCUUCGGGAACCGUGAGACAGGUGCUGCAUGGCUGUCGUCAGCUCGUGUUGUGAAAUGUUGGGUUAAGUCCCGUAACGAGCGCAACCCUUGUCCUUAGUUGCCAGCGAGUAAUGUCGGGAACUCUAAGGAGACUGCCGGUGACAAACCGGAGGAAGGUGGGGACGACGUCAAGUCAUCAUGGCCCUUACGACCAGGGCUACACACGUGCUACAAUGGCCGGUACAGAGGGUUGCCAAGCCGCGAGGUGGAGCCAAUCCCGAAAAGCCGGUCGUAGUCCGGAUUGCAGUCUGCAACUCGACUGCAUGAAGUCGGAAUCGCUAGUAAUCGCAGAUCAGAAUGCUGCGGUGAAUACGUUCCCGGGCCUUGUACACACCGCCCGUCACACCAUGGGAGUGGGUUGCACCAGAAGUAGUUAGCUUAACCGCAAGGGGAGCGAUUACCACGGCGUGAUUCAUGACUGGGGUGAAGUCGGAACAAGGUA
rnacentral:rRNA from 1 species